CACUGGAUACUGACAUCAGCCAUAUCCUCAAGGAGUGGCUCAUUAUCAGCUCAUCACUUCUGAGUUUCUGCAAUUUUUUUAAACAAAAAAAGAAAAGAAAAGAAAAGAAAUCAUCAUCCACGAAUGCUUUUUUCUCAUUCACAUAUAAAUAUGAUAUAGAAUUAUACAACAUUUGUUGAGAGAAAAAGAUAGAAAUGAAUGAAGGUUUCAGCUGCAUGAUGCUCCACGAGUAGCUUGUUGAAAGGAAGAAGAGAAAGGGUCUAGCAUGAUAGAGAAGAGGCUGUCAGCUUAGCCAAGGAUGAUUGCCUGUCACCCAAACAUGGGUUCCCAUGAGCUGCAGGCAAGUCAUUCUUGGCUACCAAACAAGACUCUUUAUCUUCAUGGAAGACCUACUCUUCCCCGUGUUCUUUUAAUGUGCUACAUCCUGCUCUGCACUUCUCGCUGCCCAUAAAAGGAAUAUAUUCCCUUCAAUAUGUAGGGACCUCAUGUUUAGGUGAGGUGAUCUGAUCUCCACAAGGAUUAAAGAAAACUCUCGAAGUUUCUGGCGAUUCUACUGUUCGCCCAGCCGCACUUGAGCCUGCCAACUUGCAGCAAAGCUUAUCCCCUGAAAAGAUAUAUGAGAUAGGGCGGUGGUUGUAGCUUAAUCUAGAUAUGUAUGCCGAUGCCCCCUUCUUAUCAAUCUGGCUAGGUUUUCAUUUAUAUAUGUGCACUCUUUGGGCUUUGGUAUGGCUGGCUAAAGCUCAAGCUGUUUAUUAUUAUUAUCAUUAUUAUUUAUGUUGUUAUUGUUUGGUACAUGUUUAUAGUUUAUAGUUAUUUUUCUCGACAAUGUCAUCUUUAAAGUUUUAACAUAUAUUCUCUUUUUGAAGAUGUAACCUAUCUUACCGUUGCACUCUGUUGGAACAUUUUUAAAUAUUUAUAGUGUUUCAAUAACUAUAAAUGAAAAUGUAUAAUUAAUUAAAA